AACGAACGCUGGCGGCAUGCCUAACACAUGCAAGUCGAACGAAACCACCGGGACUAGUGGCGUCUGGGUGUGUAAGGCGAGGGAACAUGAACAUAGGUUCGGCCUAACUAUCAGACAGGGGUGAUAACACCGGACAAUGUCUACGGACCAAAGAUAUAUCGAACUUGGAGGGGCGAGAGUUGGAUUAGCUUGUUGGUAGGGUAAGAGCUUACUAAGGCGACGAUUCAUAGCUGGUCUGAGAGAAUGAUCAGCCACACUGAGACGGAGAACCGGCCCAGACUCCUACGGGAGGGAGGAGUGGGUAAUAGUGGACAAUGGGCGGAGGCAUGAUCCUGUAAGGCCGCGUGAGUGAUGAAAUCCGGAGGGAUGUAAAGCUCAUUUACCCGUGAUGGUAAUGACGGUACCGGGAGAAUAAGCUCCGGCUAACUCCGUG
rnacentral:rRNA from 1 species